rnacentral:rRNA from 1 species
UACAGAGGGUGCGAGCGUUAAUCGGAAUUACUGGGCGUAAAGCGCGCGUAGGCGGCUUCGCAAGUCGGAUGUGAAAUCCCCGGGCUCAACCUGGGAACUGCAUUCGAGACUGCGUUGCUAGAGUAUGGGAGAGGGAAGUGGAAUUUCCGGUGUAGCGGUGAAAUGCGUAGAUAUCGGAAGGAACAUCAGUGGCGAAAGCGACUUCCUGGACCAAUACUGACGCUCAUGUGCGAAAGCGUGGGGAGCAAACAGGAUUAGAUACCCUGGUAGUCCACGCCAUAAACGAUGAGAACUGGAUGUCGGGAGGGUCUGCCUCUCGGUGUCGUAGCUAACGCGUUAAGUUCUCCGCCUGGGGAGUACGGCCGCAAGGUUGAA